rnacentral:rRNA from 1 species
GAUGAACGCUAGCGGCAGGCCUAAUACAUGCAAGUCGAGGGGUAGCAGGGUGUAGUAAUACAUUGCUGACGACCGGCAAACGGGUGCGGAACACGUACACAACCUUCCUUUAAGCGGGGAAUAGCCCAGAGAAAUUUGGAUUAAUACCCCAUAGAAUAGUUGGAUGGCAUCAUUUGAUUAUUAAAGAUUUAUCACUUAAA